AUUCUGCUGGUGGGAUAGUAGCAGUGAGGAUGAGCAGAGGUCACUCUCGUCACCUUCUUGGUUUUGGGGACGAGACACACACACACAGAGACAGAGAGAGAGAGAGAGUGCAAAGCAAGGCAAGGCAAGAGGAGUAAGAAGGUCAUUAUGCAAUCUUUCUCGGACUCAGCUCUCUAAUUCUUAAGAUCAGCAGUCUCAAAGUACCAUCUGUGUACUCCUGGGAGCUCCUAAGACACUUUCAAGAGCCACAGCAAAAGAGAUGAAAUUCUGCCUGAACUAUUAUCCUCCAUUUACAGUUAAGUAAACUGAGGCCCUGGAAAAUGAGGCACUUUAGUUUUAAAAGCUGCUAAAGUCUAUUGCUACAUCAUGCAGCCUGGGCUCUGCUUUGCUUGUGUCAGUCAGCUCUGAAGAAGUCUCUGUCCUGUAAUUUAGACUGUAUGCCAUUAAGUGGGAUUAGUUCAGGGAAAUUCACAGGAAUAACAAAAGACAGAAAACAUGAGGAUGAUGGGCCCCACCCCAGGACGGAAAAUGUGUGGAAACAUCAAGGGAAUAAAAGUGUGUCAGGUAACAGACUUUGUCUAUUGAAUGACUUCAUGAUUUUGAUCCUACGCAAUACUUCACAGGAAACAUUAAAUUACAUUAAUCCAAAAUUCCCUGGAAAUAAUAAAAGAUAGAGGAGGAAAAAAGGUAUGUAAAGAAAACAAACAAAAGACCUUGAAAAGCUAUGAGAGAAAAGGGAGAAGAAAAGGGAACUAAAGCAGAAAAGGAGAAGGGUAACGUACUUUGCAUGUUACAGAGAGAUUGGACGCCACUGCUUACUGCCCCAGAGGCUACUAAGAAACCUUUAAAUGAGAUUUCUGUCUGGCUUGGAGAAGUUUGAGGAAUAAAUGCGAUUAAUCAUUAUUUUGAUUCUUAUGAAGAAAAAAUAGCACUUCCAUAUAAACAACCAUCUAUCCAAUUUUAUUCAAUGAAUAGGUGAAAAAAAAGCUGUGAAACACUUCUAUGAUCACAAAAACACUUUAGUAGAGUACUCAAAAUAUCAGAAGCGUGUUUAAAAAGCAUACAUUUGACUAAAUUGGAAAUGUGGCAAUUUACUAGGUGGCCAUCUUAAGUGAACUGCUUUGCAAUAUUUGUUGAAGAAUUAAAUUAAUUUUGUGCCUUCUCUCUCAAUGCCUGAGUUUUCUGGGAUCCUAUUUUUGACAAUUCAUCUUUCCUUCUUCUAUACAUCAUAUUUUUGCUAGUGAACCAAAACCCAUUUAAACAAAGUUUCAUUGAAUAAACAAAACAAUACUGAGGUUAAAAUAA
ensembl:lncRNA LINC02516 long intergenic non-protein coding RNA 2516